rnacentral:rRNA from 1 species
CCCUUAGAUGUCCUGGGCUGCACGCGCGCUACACUGAUGUGUCCAGUAAGCACCUAACCUCUUCCGAAAGGAACGGGUAACCUUUGCAAAGCACAUCGUGAUGGGGAUAGAUUAUUGCAAUUAUUAGUCUUGAACGAGGAAUUCCUAGUAAGCGUAAGUCAUAAGCUUGCGCUGAUUACGUCCCUGCCCUUUGUACACACCGCCCGUCGCUACGACCGACUGUUUCUGUCAAUGAAGCUGUAGGAUUCGGCCCUGGCCGGGGCGCAAGCCCUGGCUACGUGGUUGGAGAUCAUAGUUUAGUUGAUACGAAAUACAGGACGUAAAAGUCGUAACA